rnacentral:rRNA from 1 species
CGGCGGACGGGUGAGUAACGCGUGAGCAACCUGCCUCAAACAGGGGGAUAACGCAUCGAAAGAUGUGCUAAUACCGCGUAAGACCACAGCAUCACAUGGUGCAGGGGUCAAAGGAGCAAUCCGGUUUGAGAUGGGCUCGCGUCCGAUUAGCUAGUUGGUGAGAUAACAGCCCACCAAGGCGACGAUCGGUAGCCGACCUGAGAGGGUGAUCGGCCACAUUGGAACUGAGAUACGGUCCAGACUCCUACGGGAGGCAGCAGUGGGGAAUAUUGGGCAAUGGGCGAAAGCCUGACCCAGCAACGCCGCGUGAGGGAAGAAGGGUUUCGGCUCGUAAACCUCUGUCCUAUGGGACGAAGGAAGUGACGGUACCAUAGGAGGAAGCCCCGGCUAACUACGUGCCAGCAGCCGCGGUAAUACGUAGGGGGCGAGCGUUGUCCGGAAUGAUUGGGCGUAAAGGGCGCGUAGGCGGCCUGAUAAGUCUGGAGUGAAAGUCCUGCUUUCAAGGUGGGAAUUGCUUUGGAUACUGUUGGGCUGGAGUGCAGGAGAGGAAAGCGGAAUUACCGGUGUAGCGGUGAAAUGCGUAGAGAUCGGUAGGAACACCAGUGGCGAAGGCGGCUUUCUGGACUGUAACUGACGCUGAGGCGCGAAAGCGUGGGGAGCAAACAGGAUUAGAUACCCUGGUAGUCCACGCUGUAAAACGAUGAAUGCUAGGUGUAGGAGGUUAUCGACCCCUU